UUAAAGAUGAAGAUGUCCCUGUAGACGGUGUUCACCUGUUUCAACGAGGAGCAGUUUCUACAAGCACAAGAUCGUCUUGAUUAUGUUUUUGCUAAAUACGUCUUCAAGGGAUUGAAUCCCUGGGUAUCAGGAAAUGUAAAACAAACUCCACAUGAUCCUAAUAUGGUUUGGGCUAGUAACCAAUACAUUAUUGUAUUCCAGGGACGAACUGUUGACAUGAAAACGUUAACCCUGAUCGAAGAACCAACAGAGGAGAACCUCGAGGAUGCAGAGGCUGAGUUCGAGAGGCUUCUGGAGGAGAACCAGUAGGAGGAGGGGGGCACAACAGUAGAGGGUGGGGGGUGCAACAGUAGAGGGGGGGGGUGCAUCAUGUGAAAACUUGUAAACACGAUGGCAAUGUGCAAAAUUUUAGAUAUUCAUUUUGUCUGCUUUUUCUUCUUCCCCCUCAGUUUUAUUUCAUGCUAAAUUUAUGUCUCUUUUUCUUGAAUUAUCAUAAAAUAGUUUUCUUAUUUUUAAACUUCUCCAUUUUUCCCCAUUUACUCGCAUAAUCUUUGACUUCUAUGCUGAAAUAUCUUUAAUUCUCAUCUUAUUAAAUAUAGUUGAUUGUUAACCCUAUUUGGCCUAUUUGGACUAAAUUUAUAUUUAGACUUACUUCCAGUCAUUGGAUUUCAACAUUAUAUAGCUCUUUAGAAAGCCCAUAACAAAAGCAAUUGUUGCAAAGAAAUUUUGCACAGAUUUUUGCACGGACGCCUUGAAAGGGAAUGUGUGAAAUUUCAGUUUUUCUUGAAUACACAUUUAGGUUUUUAAAAUUUUGCAAAUUCUUUUGCACAUUCGAAUUUGCUGGGUCAAGGGUUUUUCAAAAAUGUAUCAUUUGUUGCAAUCUGUGCAAUUUUUUUGCACAUUUUUCGCUUUAUAACUAGAUUCGCUAUAAAUAGAGGGGCGCCAGUCAGUAAACCAGACGUCAGGCUAAAUAGGGUUAAAUAUGGAUAUUUUUUUGAGACACUAGUUUCUUUCGCACGGUAAUUUUCUUAUUUAAAAAUCAACAAUAAAAAUGAAAUAAAAACAAAAAUAAAGAUAUGCAUUUCUGCCAUUUUUAUUUAAACCUUUUGUAUGAAUAAAAAAGUGUUUGAAACAGACUUUUACUGUAUCAUAAUGUUUGAAUUUAUAUAAUAACGGAAUAAAAUAUCUAACAUCA